AUCGUCGCCGGCUUGGCAGCGGCCACGGCUAGCGACGACAUGGGCCGGUGGUACAAGGGUGGGAGUCGGGCCACCCUGACUGCCCUAGAUUUGGAGAGAUUGAAAUGUUUGGGGACCUGGUGAUGGACCCCAUAGUAGAUGUGAAUUAUGGUUUAGAAUAUUUAAAUAUUAAAUGAUUUAAUUUGUGAUUUGUAAUUGAUGUUGUAGAGGAAGGGUCGGCGGAGCCAGGAGGUUUUGAUCAGGGGACUGAGCACCCCAGCGCGUAGGUUGUGAUUUGGACUGUGUUUGAGUCACUCUACAAUUUCUAGGCACUGGAUUCGUAGAAUCUGUCGGAUGGGACAAGAAGUGAGCUCGAUCUGAGUCAGACUGCUAGAUAGUUAGAAGUCAAUUUAUCUCUUAUUUAUGGACAUUUGAAUUUAUGUAAUCAUUCAGUACAUUUUGGUUGGAUCUGAUUAAAUUCCAUUAAUUAUUGAUUUUGGCAUUUAUUGGAAUUAUUGGAA